rnacentral:rRNA from 1 species
UACGUAGGGUGCGAGCGUUAAUCGGAAUUACUGGGCGUAAAGGGUGCGCAGGCGGUUAUAUAAGACAGAUGUGAAAUCCCCGGGCUCAACCUGGGAACUGCGUUUGUGACUGUAUGACUAGAGUACGGUAGAGAGGGGUGGAAUUCCUGGUGUAGCAGUGAAAUGCGUAGAUAUCGGGAGGAACACCAGUGGCGAAGGCGAUCAUCUGGGGUUGUUCUGACACUGAGGAGCGAAAGCUAGGGGAGCAAACGGG